rnacentral:rRNA from 1 species
UACAGAGGGUGCAAGCGUUGUUCGGAAUCAUUGGGCGUAAAGGGCGCGUAGGUGGUGUGGUCAGUCAGGUGUGAAAUCCCUGGGCUCAACCCAGGAACUGCAUUUGAUACUGCCAGACUAGAGUACAGUAGAGGGUAGUGGAAUUCCCGGUGUAGAGGUGAAAUUCGUAGAGAUCGGGAGGAACACCAGUGGCGAAAGCGGCUACCUGGACUGUAACUGACACUGAGGCGCGAAAGCGUGGGUAGCAAACAGG